rnacentral:lncRNA from 1 species
GAACACUUGAAUCAUUCCUGUUACCUUUUCUAUGUGAAUUUCCUGAAGGUUAAUUAAUCUGCUUACUGCCUGGCUCCUUGUCCAUAGGGAUGGUCCUGUAUAGCCCUCUGAUUCCAUGUGUGAUGCUCAUGACCUUGAGCAUGUUCCCUACAGCUUCUGAUUGUAUUCAGGGAGGAAUGAGGCUCUAGUAUGAGCAUUUUUUGUGAUUUCUCUCACUGUAGAAUAAAGAAUUACAGAGAUAGGCUUUUCUUGAUUGUGUCUUAAAUAUUCAGUAGUGAAAACCUUUGUCAGUUGGUGCUACUUGCUUUUAAAAUAUAACCUGAAAUGUUUCUUCUUUUUAUGUUUAAAUUAUUUUUUAUGGAUGUUUUUCACCCUGGGCUUGAGUUUUCCUGGGACUCUGCUUCUUUGACAAUAAUUCCCUUGUGCUUGAGCACACGUUCAUUUCCAGUGGGCCCUCAGUAAACUGAACUUACUCAUGGAAUAAAAGUGAAGAGUAGAGAUUUUGAUAAAAUUUAACUGUUAAUGUGAGUUGAAGUAUUUUUUUCAGAGGUGUAAUUAGUCUCAGUAUUAGCCAUCCAUUCAGAUAGCUUGGCUUAACCACAAUAAUCAUACCAGGGAAGUCCAGAUUCAUUUUUUUUUUUAUCAGCUGGCUUGGAAAUUUGACUUUUGUUCAGAUGACUACUUUUUGUUUUUCCAGUGGGUAUUGCAGUUCAUGACUUUGCCUAACAGAGAAUACCACCCUCUUCCUCAUCAUGACAUAACCCACACAUAUCCUACCCAUGGCUGGAACUCCAGUUCACUGAGCAUCCCUGCAUACCCCAAGGGGAAAGUGCAUUAAUAUCCAUUUUCCUUGUCCACUGUUUUUCUCCAAUUCAUAAUAAACACAAUUCCAGGUAAAUCUCUUCACCGUGCAGUGCUAACUUCUCUUUCCUCCCUAGCAGCUCUUGGGUGCCUGCCUGUGGCACAAACCCCCAGUAUCUUUCCAAAUUGAUGCAGAUUGUCCUUCCACUGCUGUCCCAUGUGUACCUGUGGUAUUCAGAGCUGUCAAGAGGGUGAGGCCCUUGCAGGAUGAUGGGAUGAUACUGAAUGACUGAUCACAGUUCCAGAAUCUCUUACCUUUUAAGUAGUAAAAAUACAUUCUAUUAGAUUCUUUUAGAGUUUGCUGGAGUCUUCUAUAGCUGAUCAGUCUCUCUUAUGACAAGCUCAUAUUAAACAAAUCUUAAAAAUGACAGAUGUUAAUGCACUAAGGUGAGACUCAUUCUACCUCCUGGGCCUGAGUUCUCUUGUUGGCAGCUCAACACUGGCUUCUCUUGAUGGUACAGCAAACCUGCUAAUUCCUAUAGUUUUAAUCUCUUCUCUCUCCUCUGUAAGUUCAUGACUCUGUUUAGUGGUGGUUGCACUGUCACUUAAGUUCCAGAUUUUUUAGAUAAUAUACAGGUCUAGACUGCACUUUGUUCUGGGUUUGGCUCCUGUCACUAACACAUUCAUGCCUUCUCAUUCACAGAAGCACUCUCUUGGAUGAAGACUGUAAUGUAUUAAAUACUGUAUUUACUGUCUUUUGUUUCAGAGGGUGAUCUUUUUCUGGCUUUGUCCUGAAAUUGUUGGGGUGUCCUACGGUAGGCUUCUUUCUACUAUUGUACCUUCUGUUCUAAACCAGGAGACUUGCUGUUCCCUGACACAUCCCUCCCACUCCUGUGGUUUUGUUUUCUCCUCACACCCUUUCCUCUAUGUGGGUUGUUGAAAUCCCGCCACCUCAUUAAGUUCCAUCUUGAAUGCCACAUCUUCUUGAUUCCUCAAACCCAAUGUGCACUUUCUCCUUUGAAUUCUAUAUCUGUUUUGUAGUCCUGUCUUGUAACCCCUUAUAUUAAAGUUACUUGUAUCAUCUUCCCUAUCGUUUCUUCGUAGUAUCUGGUAUAUUUACAAGGUGCUCAUGAAUUGAGUUAAAUUAAAAUUUCCUCUUAACUUUAGACCAGUGACUCUCAAACUAUGAUUUCUGGACCAAUAUCGGUAUCACCUGCUAACUUGUUAGAAAUGCAGAUUUCUUGGUCUCCACCAUGGACCUGCUGGCUCAGCUGCUCCAAGGGUGGCACCAGCAGUGUGUCCUUUGACAAGCCCUUCAUUCUCAGCUUUGAGAACCACUGACGUAGCCUUCCUAAGAGUUGGUAUCCAGCCUCUUUAUCAAGAACAUGGCUUUCCAUUUGUAGGAAAUACCAUCAUUUCAAACUGUGUUUAGAUGCAUCCUGGGGAUUCUGGACUGGUAGGGGAGAGGGUGGCACCUGCAGUCCUCCCAGUAUUUUUUCAUUAGCAGCUCUGCUUUUAUUCCUUUAAUGGACUAGUCUGCCAUGAAAAUUUUCUUUGAAGAAGGGGCUGCAUCUUAAGAAAAGUUUGAAAAUUGCUGAUCCAAAUUUGUUGGCAUGAGGUUGGCAAACUACUGCCCCUGCUCACAGGGCCUGAUGUGUCAAUAAAGUUUUAUUGGAACGCAGCUUCAUCCAUUGGCUCACACAUGCCCAUGCUGCUCUCAGGCCACAGUGGCAGAGCUGAGUUGUGUGAGUAGUGCCUGUGACCUGUAGGCCUAAGGUGUUUACUAGGUGGCCCUAGAAGGAAAGGUUUGCUGAUCUCUAACUUCAGCCACACAGAAUGAUGUCACGUACCUCGAAGUAAGAAGAAAAACAUCCCUGAGUGUCGUAAACUCACCAACAUUCUAACAUAUUACAUCAUGUAGGUAGAUAUUCAACAUAUCAUAUAUAAUAAUAAGCCCAUAAACAUCACUGCAGAGGAGAAAAACCACCUCCCGUCUUCCAGAAAAGUAGGUCACAUCAGCAGACAAAAUGAUGUGAGUAUUAAGGGUAGCAGACUUUCUUACCUACCUCAUUUGCUCAUGACAUCUUGAAUACAUUUUAGGACAUUAAAGUAUUAC